rnacentral:rRNA from 1 species
GACCUCGGAUCAGGCAGGGAUACCCGCUGAACUUAAGCAUAUCAAUAA